UACGGAGGAUGCGAGCGUUAUCCGGAUUUAUUGGGUUUAAAGGGUGCGCAGGCGGCACGGCAAGCCGGCGGUCAAAUCGCGGGGCUCAACCCCGCCCAGCCGUCGGAACUGCCGGGCUAGAGUGGGCGAGAAGUGCGCGGAAUGCGUGGUGUAGCGGUGAAAUGCAUAGUUAUCACGCAGAACUCCGAUUGCGAAGGCAGCGCACCGGCGCCCUACUGACGCUCAGGCACGAAAGCGUGGGUAUCGAACAGG
rnacentral:rRNA from 1 species